UGGCCACAUCAUGUUGAAACAUUGGUUCUCAUACGAUCACCAAAGUUAAGCACUGUCAAGCCUGGUCAGUACCUAGAUUGAUGACUGCCUGGGAAUACCAGGUGUUGUAA